CGAUGGCGCCACUGAUAUUAAGAGAGUAUAUAUAGAUAUACAGCGUAUACUUCUAUAUAGACUAGGGCGCCGGCGCCAUUGAGAGCCAUUUUGCUUCUCUUGCUAUUCUGUGGUGCUCUGUUUUUCGUGGUAUCGUGUUGAAUUCGUAUUAUAGGCCCGAUCGACUGGAUUAUUACGUCUCUUUCGAGAUUAACAUUUCACCCAAAGAAGAAACAUGUUCGCAGUUCAGAACGUAAUUAGGAAAACUUCGCAAUUAGGAAAGCUUGUUCUGAAUCAACGCAGAACGAUCGUUGCUACACCUCCGAGAUGUAAAGUACCGAAAGCCGAGCGGUUGGCACUUGGAGCAUUUUUGUGGGUAGGUGUGAUGACAGUGCCCUUAUACAUUGCGUGUCACGUAAGGGACUAUAAUGGAACCAGAUAUCAAACGGAUACAGAUUAGAUGUAUGCUUAGAAUUAAUCUCUUGCAGUAGGAACUGUUUAGUGAUACAAAAGGAAAUGGGAGGAAUAUCUCCUCCAGAAAAUAUCUAAACAAUGUAUUAAAAUGUAAAGUUUGGAACACCGAAUUAAAUAGAAUUAAUUAUAUAAAUUG